rnacentral:rRNA from 1 species
GAUGAACGCUAGCGGAGGGCAUAAUACAUGCAAGUCGAACGGAUGUAGCAAUACAUUAGUGGUGCACGGGUGCGUAACGCGUAUGCAACCUACCUUCAUCAGGGGGAUAACUACCCGAAAGGGUGGCUAACACCGCAUAAUACUAUUGAGUGGCAUCACUUGAUAUUUAAAUCUGAGGAGGAUGAAGAUGGGCAUGCGUCUGAUUAGCUAGUUGGUGUGGUAACGGCGCACCAAGGCGACGAUCAGUAGGGGAACUGAGAGGUUGGUCCCCCACACUGGCACUGAGAUACGGGCCAGACUCCUACGGGAGGCAGCAGUAGGGAAUAUUGGUCAAUGGUGGGAACACUGAACCAGCCAUUCCGCGUGCAGGAAGAAGGGUCUCUGACUUGUAAACUGCUUUAGCAAGGGAAGAAAAAGCUCAUGCGUGAGAAAUUGACGGUACCUUGAGAAUAAGCACCGGCUAACUACGUGCCAGCCGCCGCCGUAAAAC